rnacentral:lncRNA from 1 species
UGCAGGGUGGCUUCAGGAAGUCUCCUAGGCUCUGUCUGGGGUGGGAGUCAAGCCCAGCAGAAGAGCCUUCCUACACAUAGAUCUUCUAUGUCUCUGCACGGAUACGAGGCCCUCCUAUGUUCCCAAGCAGAGAAUGUGUAGGAUGCUCAGAGUUUUCUGUGAAGUCUACACUCACACGUGAUGGAGGCGAAACAACAGACUCUGGAACAAGGAACAUGCAUGCCAUUCAUGUCCCUUCUUUUCUUCAGGGAGCAGAUGCUGAGGUAACGUCGGAACUUCAAAUGGUUACUAGAGAUCCAAACCUAUAAACACAAGACAACUUGACAGAGACAGAUGCUGUCUUCACACUGUCCAAUCUGCUCAGGGGAGCUGUGGGGGCAGUUUGCCCUGAGAAUUUCUGUUAUAUAGUGGGGCGUUGAAGACAAACUAAUUCUGCCAGAUAAUGAUCUCUUGGAUUCAAGUGCACGGAGGAGACUGGAGAAGCCAUUAAGAGAAGAACAUGGUGCCAUGGCAAAGAAGAGAACAGAGACCCUGUACUUUCCAGGACU